rnacentral:rRNA from 1 species
CCUACGGGGGGCAGCAGUGGGGAAUAUUGCACAAUGGGGGAAACCCUGAUGCAGCGACGCCGCGUGAGUGAAGAAGUAUCUCGGUACGUAAAGCUCUAUCAGCAGGGAAGAAAAUGACGGUACCUGACUAAGAAGCCCCGGCUAACUACGUUCCAGCAGCCGCGGUAAUACGUAGGGGGCAAGCGUUAUCCGGAUUUACUGGGUGUAAUGGGAGCGUAGACGGCAGCACAAGUCUGGAGUGAAAUCCCGAGGCUCAACCCCGGAACUGCCUUGGAAACUGUGCGGCUGGAGUGCAGGUGGGGUAAGCGGAAUUUCUGGUGUAGCGGUGAAAUGCGUAGAGAUUAGACGGAACACCGGUGGCGAAGGCGGCUUACUGGACUGUAUCUGACGUUGAGGCACGAAAGCGUGGGGAGCAAACAGGAUUAGAUACCCGGGUAGUC